CUUCCUUUGUCCUUGUGUUGCUGUGAUAGAUAAAUUAUAUUUUCCUUCUCACUCAAAAAUUACCUUUUGUAAAAAACCAGCCAGUUUACUGCAUUUAAUGGUUUAUGAAAGGUUCAACAAAUAGAGGGAUCAGAGAUGAAUAUUUUGAAAACUCAGUGCUGUCUUUGCUGUCAACAUGUAACGUGCAAGGGAAAACAAGCAUGUAAGGAUGACUACCUUCCCAGCAAACUGCAAUGGAAUUAUGUACAUAUGCAAAGGCAGGAAGGCUCACAUGACAGGUAACAGCUCCCGGUGAUAACAGUCACACAUCCAGAGCUGUGCGUGGAAGCCAUUUGCUGUGUACAACUUUGGCUGGUCGAUAGCACUGCCCGGUUUGGAGCACCAUGUUUUGGCAUAACAUCUCUUAACUACGAAAGAAGCAAGCACAUAUAACACUGCCUUUGCUGAACACUUGUAAAGCUUACUGUGGGUGAUAAUUGUGGAAAAAAACCCUAUUUCAGUCACAAUGAAAUUGAAAAAUUUGGAGGUACUUUGGUCAUUAGGCUGUUCUGGAGGUAAUAUUCUAGGUGCUUCUCACUAUCUGUCGAUGAGACUUGAUGACAACAGAGGCUCUCCCACCUGAAAAAGAGAAGGAACUGUCCAGUAGAUCUUUCUGGAUA